CAUUUUUUUUUGUUUCAGUUGAACUCGGAUAUGAGAUUUUGUGUGUGUGUGUGUGUGUUUUUUUUUUUUCUUUUACACUUCAUCCAUUUGGAAUAAACUUGCAUGAAUGUUAACUUAAUCAGUUUCUAUAUAUAUUGAUCUUAGAAUCUUGCAUGAAUGCAAAAUUCAUGCAUUCUUAUUCUAAUUCUUGUUCCCCAAAUAUUUCACUACCCUGUUUUUUUUCUUUAUAAUGGUAAUUUCACCAAUUUGGAUUAAACUUGCAUGAAUGCUUGCUCUUUGAACUUGGUAACUUGAUCAGUUUAUAUAAUGUUGAUCUCGGAAUCUUCACGCUGUAAUCAAACAGACAUGAGUUUAUUUUGGAUUGUAUGGAUUGAGUAUUCUUGUUCUCAUUUCUUAUGGGGAUUGAUUAUGGAUUGACUAUUCUUUCUUUUUUCUUUAGUAAUUACAGAUUUUAUGUUGUGUUAGUGCUGCUGGUUGCUAACAGUGGUGGCUAUUAGUUCAAGUCUAAUACAAGUUAUUUUCAAGCAUUCAUCUUGCUUGAAUGCUGUAUGUUUAUAAAAUGAAUCAUAGGUUCAAGUCUAAUUCAAGUUAGGCUUCAAGAUCCUGAUGUGGUUAUAUCUAAUUCAAUUACAGCCCUACUCUUUGGUUACUUAAGUGCACCUAGCAUUUCUUCAAAAUAAAUAUAUUAUCUUUCUGUUUAAGCCAAAUCAUUUGAAAUAAAUUAAUCAUUUCCCAGUUCAUGCAUCCUAUAUCAAUAAAUAGUUGUUUAUCUUUUCUUCCCCUUUAUUAUAUCAUCCAUUUUUUAUAUUCUCAUAGAUGCAUAAUGAAAUGUUGAUUGCAAUUGUUAGAGCUGCAACUAGUGGAGUUGUAGUUGCAUUGACCAUUGUUCAAGAGUGGUUAGACUAUGUUGAUAGGGGACCUUCUGUCAACCGAGACUUGCAAUGACAAGAUCUACUAGAUCAGUUGUAUAGGGGGAGAUAGAUUGAUAGCUACAACCAGUUAAGAAUGGGUAAAGAAGCCUUUUACAGGCUUUGCAAAAUUUUACGGGAGAUCAGACGACUCCACGAUACAUUGAGGACUAGUGUAGAAGAACAAGUUGCUAAAUUCUUGCAUAUUUUAGCACAUAAUAGAACUAUGGGAUUUCACUUUAGUAGAUCGGGAGAGACAAUUAGUUGCCAUUUCAAUUUGGUGUUAGAUGCACUUCUCAGUUUAGAGGAUAGAUACCUAGCUCAACCAAGUGGCACGAACACACCACCUAAGAUUAGAAACCGACAAGACUUUUGGACAUAUUUUAAGGUAACUAUGGUGUUAAUUUGUAAUAAAUCUAUAGGUUAUGAAUCAUAUAAUAAAUACAAACUGUAUGACUUGCUUGGUAGGAUUAUGUUGGGGCAAUUGGCGGGACACAUAUACCCAUAAAGGUUCCACUGUCAAAUGUAGCUAGAUUCUGUGGUCGGAAGUCCUACCCCACACAAAAUAUCCUUGCUGCAUGUUCGUUUAACUUGCUUUUCACAUAUGUUUUACCUAGAUGGGAGGGAGCUACAUCAGAUUCCCGCAUGCUAAACUGUGCAUUAACAAGGGAACACAAACUACAAGUCCCACAAGGUAAAUAUUACCUGGUAGAUGUGGGUUUUUUUUCUCAAGGCUGAGUUCUUAACCCCAUAUUGGAGCACAAGAUACCAUUUGAAGGAAUGGGGUUUGCAUCAACCUGAGAACCCCAAAGAAAUGCUUAACCUACAUAAUGCCUUGCUCUGAAAUGCAGUUGAGCAGAUUUUUGGGGUCCUUAAGAAACGUUUUCCACUCCUAGUUUCCAAGCAACACUACCCAUUCAAAACACAAGUCAAGAUUGUGUCUGCAUGUUGAGGUAACUAAAGGUGUGAAUGCUGAUGUAGAUGAUGGGGCAGAGCCAGAUGAUGUGUUUGAUGAUACUCAGGUGUCUUAGCCAUUUCAAUGCAUUGGUAGAAAUGAGUCUAUGAGAGAAGGACACUGUCUUAGAGAGGAGAUAGCUAACCAAAUGUGGGCAGACUACCAAGUGACUUAUCGAGGCACCAUCAUUAAACAUCUUUUUUUUUUUUUUUUUUUUUUUACCUUGGGUGUUUUAUAAACCUUUGUGGUAUUAACUUUAACAUGGGUGGUAUUGUUUUAUUUCGAAUGAAAGACCUUGAUUUAUAUGUAUGGUUGAAUGUCUCAAAUGUUGCUAUGAUUUGAUUGAAUUGUCAGAUAUGUUGAUUGUUUGGUGUGAAUCAAAUAUGGGUACUCGAGAUAUUGUUCAAUGUCUCAGAUAUGUUGAUUGCAUUAGAUCUAUAACUUGAGAUGUUGAUUGUUUGGUGUAAAUUAGAUAUGGAUACACAGUUUAGUGAAACUGAUGGAAGAAUGAGUAAGUCUAACAUGAGCUGGAUUGCUGAGAUGGACAAUACACUGAUUGACACUCUAGUAGAGCAGGCCACACUUGGCUAUAAAGUUGAUAAAAGUUUUAAAGCCCCGACAUACAAUGCGUCUGCAAAGGCGAUUAGUGAUAAGUUUGGAGUGGAAUGCAAUCACAGUCACAUUAGAAAUAGAAUGAAAACAAUAAAGAAGAAUUUCACUACCAUUUCAAACAUUUGAUGUAGAACCCUGUGUUUGGGCAGAGUAUAUCCAGGUAAACUUUAAUAUGAUAUGUAAGCUUAUUAUUAAAAUAUGUAAAAUAGAUACAACCUUGUUAGAUUGAUCUAUAAUGAACGAACAGGGGCACCCAAAAGCUAAGCAAUUUAGGAGGAAGUCCAUCACCAACUAUGACUAGCUUGUCAUAGUGUGUGGGAAUGAUCAAGUUACUACAUCUGGGGCAUUCACUGCUAGAGAAAU